CAGUUUCAUUUCUAAAAUUCAAACGUGAAAAGCGCAAAAAGAACGGUUCGCGAAAAUCAUUUUUAAUUAUUUUUUUUCUUUUUUUUUUUAAUUACGUAUAACGUUAUAAAGUAUAUUGAAAAUGUAUUAUAAUAACAGUGACUUGAAAUCUAAUAUUCAAAUGUUAUUUAUUACAUUUAAACUAUAUAGUAAAAUUGAAAAUACAAUGUUAAAAUAUCACAAUUUUUAAUAUUCAAAAAUGCAAAAUAUUUCGAUUUAAAGCGAAAAAUCAAAAAAUUUUAAAGAAAAAAAUAUGAAAUGUUUGGCAUUCUGCCAAAAAUCAAAUACAUAUUCUAAUAUUUGAAAAGGAAAUUUUAUUAUUUCAAAUACUAAUCAUAAAUAAAUAGUUUAAAGUUAUUUAAAAUUAAAUUUAAUUUGAACCAAAAAUUUACACAUAAAAAAAAGAGUUAAAAAAAUAUUUAAAUAAAAAUAUUUUAGAGUGAUCAUUUAAACUUAAAUUAUUAUUAAAUUUGAAAUUUUUGAAAACAAAAUCACAAUAGAGAAAUUCGCCUAAAUUUAUAAAAACAUCAAAACUUAAAAUACUCACAUUUAUUAAUUACAAUAAGCUGAUAUAGCAAAAAUAAAAAAAAUAAAAAAAAACGGAAGAAAAACAAAUAAAAAGGCACAAAAAUGGCUAAAAAAAGUCCUGUACGUUCAUUAAGUGAUAGUUCUCUAGCAGAACUAGCAAAUUUAGUUGUCUCAGCUAUUGGUUUUUCUUUACAUAGUAUCGCUGAUAAUGAUUAUGUAACAAUAACAAUGGUUGAAGUCAAUUCAUAUUUAUCAGAUGCUGGUGCAACAAGUGAUAUUUAUCAAGAUCUUUUGCGUGUUAUUUUAGCAUCAGAUUAUUUAGAAGCAUCAAUGCGUUUUACAUGUUUACAAAUGUUAUUAAAUGGUGGUGUUAAUACAUUAAUAACAGAUAUAUUUCCAUUUUCAUAUUAUGAAAAAAUUUUACAAGUAAUUGCUGCUCAAGGUGCUGGUCUUAGAAUAUUAAAUUUAAAAGGUGUAUGGGUUAAAGAAGAGCAUAUGCAUUAUAUGAUGGAAAUAAUUAAAAAAUGUCCCCAUUUAACAAAAUUAUAUAUACCAUAUAUUGCGAACGACGAACUGUUAGAAUGUAUUGCAAAAUCCAGCUCAAAAUUACGUUUAAUUGAUAUCAGUGGAGAAACAGACAUUACGGAAAAUGGUGUUGAAUAUUUAAGCAAAGGUUUAUCUAGCGCAAAAUUAACUGUUGUAGAUAUUGGUAUGCCUGGAGAAGAAAAUAUUUGCCACUCAGAUGUUGCAAUGCUAUUAGAACGAUGUCCUAAUUUGGAAACUCUAGGCACAUAUUCAUUUGUUGGGCAGGCAUUAAAGUUUGUUUAUGAUAAUGUUGAUUCAAAUUUUAAAUCAAAAUUGAAAUAUUUACACGAUACACAUACUGAUGGUGAACAAUUAGAGAUAAUUGUUACAACAUGCCCAAAUUUAGAAACAUUAUAUUUGGAUACACCAAAAGAAGGAAUAUUAAGUAGACUGAAAUAUACAAAAUUGAGAAAAUUGAAAAUAUAUAAAUUUCAAUGUGAUGAACUAUUGCAAUUAUUAGAAAAUAUUGGCAAAAAUUUAUCUCAUUUAACUGUGAUUAAAGGACGUGGUACCAUGGAAUUGGGUAAAUUAGCUAGAUUAUGUCCAUCAUUAAUUGAUUUAGAUUUUUAUAUGAUGGAUCAAUUAACAUAUAAUAUUCCAAUAAAAUUUGAUAGCUUACAUGGUUUAGAAAUGUUAAAUAGUCCAUUAUCAAUGGUAUCAUUAAAGCAUUUUAUCUGUAAUAACACAUCGUUAAGAAGACUAGCAGUUGAUUCAGUCAUAUUUGGUGAUGAAGAUUUAGAAAGUAUUUUCGUGCCAUAUAAUUUUAAAUUUUUAGAAGACAUUUGGUUUACUUCAGCACCAAAUUUAACUGUUGCAUCUAUUGAACUUUUGAUAGAUCGUUGUCCAGAAUUACAAUCUAUCGGUCAAAUUAGUGGUUGGGCAUUGACGCCAGAUGAUUUAGCUUUAGUUCGGGGAAUACUUAAAAGUGGAAAUUCAUCUCUUGUACUAUCCCCAACAACUUUAUUUACAUAAAAUCUAAAAUAAAAAAAAUAUAUAAUAAUAUAUAAUAUAUAUAACAUACAUAGACAAAAUGAUAAAUCUCAAAACAAAAAAUAUAUCUGUCAACAAACAAUCGUGAUAUACUUCUAAUACCAUCAGAUGACACCAAUGAUACAUGAUAUUUUCUCAGGUCAAUAAACAUUUAAUUAAAUAAAUAAUUACCUUCUCAAAACUAAAAAGAAAAGAAAAAAAAAUUAAUAAGACAUUGUUACAAAAUACUCAAAUAUAUAACAAGUAACAACACUCUUGUAAAAAUUAAUAUACAUAUUAUGUAUUAUUUUUUAAAUUUUAUUUUAUACAAUUUCAAAAAGAAAAUGAACAUAUAAAAAUGGAAAACUUGAAUGUGUCGUUUUAUGUAUGCAAAGAAAUACAUACUGUUAAUGUUGAUAGAUGUA